GUCUAUGGCCAGUGCCACCCUGAACAUGCCUGAUCCCAUCUGAUCUUGGAAGCUAAGCAGGGUCAGGCCUGGUUAGUACUUGGAUGGGAGACCACCUAGGAGACCAGGUGCUGUAGACG
rnacentral:rRNA from 1 species